UCACAUGGAGACCCUCCAUUUCCAACUCUUUCACCUUCCAUAUUCCACCUUCAAUUCUACAACCCAAGGGUCACACAAGUUUAUUACAUUAGCUUCUUCACUUCUCUUCUCAUAUUACACUUUACAACAAGAGAAAAAAAAAGAGAGAGAGAGAGAGGGGGAAAUAGUCGUGAAGGAGAUAGCCGAGAGAAGUGGAGGAAGGAGAAGUUGCAUCCAUUUGUUUCAACCACAAUCAAGUUCAAUCCUUUUGAGGUGGUUCGGACGCUCGUUAAAGUCGGAUCGAGAAGUUAUAAAAGGAUAUUUCUAAGCUAUUGAGGUUGAGCGUGGACGGGAGACGGAGGAUGUUGAGCAUUGGACCGAGACCAUGUUUGAGACGG